UAGUGUUUCUCUUAUUUUUUUUCCAUUUAUAUCAUCUAAGAGUUUUUAUGCUUUCAAUGAAUAUUGAAGAUAAUAGCAGCAAUCCAGCAACCAAAAACGAAGAAAAAGCAUGAACACAUAUAUUACACCAUUUUCAAAGCCCGAUUAACUAGUUAUUGAUCGAAAACCUCUGCCUUUUUACUAUCGCCGGCAUCUCCAUCACUAUUGAUUUGGAUCUACAAUCUAUAAAUGACAUGGCUACAGAAUCAGUGUCCUACCAAUGGAACUUGCUGGUUAAUCAAGAAUCGUCCAUGUUGGUUUAAACUUGUCUGGACACACCAUAUGACCUGGUCACACUUUGAUGUUCAAUAAUUUAGCGGGUGGAAGAUUUUAAUAUGAUGAAAAGUUGCGGAAAUUAUUUGAAGAUUAUCAUUCGUCAGGAUUAGUUAU